AGGUUGCAAGACUUCUUUACACAAACUCUGGGGUUGGCUUAUUGGCUCUUAGAUCAAAUGUAAUUCAGAAGCUAUGGAAGUGGAGCCGAAGUGAACAAAAUCCAAGUGGCAAUGCCACUGCCAGUGUUGCUCCACAGCUUUGGCAACCAAACAGUGGUCUUCUUAUGGCUAAUGAUGUCUCAGAUACCAACCCUGAAGAAGCAGUCCCAUGCAUAGCUUUCUUGAAGAAUGAUUCAUAUGUAAUGUCUGCAUGUGGUGGGAAGGUGUCACCAUUCAACAUGAUGACUUUUAUGGUAAUGACAACAUUCAUGCCACCUCCACUAGCUUCGACAUGCUUGGCAUUUCUUCCACAAGAUCAUAACAUAAUAGCAAUUGGAAUGGAGGAUUCAACCAUCCAUAUUUACAAUGUCAAAGUGGAUGAGGUAA